GAUCGUCCGCUCUGUCGCUCUGCGCCUGUCAACAGUCUCGUGGAAGCGGCUGGGACUCCGCCAGCUUGUUCUUCGUUAACAGCCCAGUGCUGACCGCCCGUGGGUGCAGCCCUAGAGUUUUGUGACCUACUUCUUUGCAAAAGUUCCCGCCUCACAAGCGAUUUGGUGAAGUUGCUGCAGGUCGGUGUUCGUUUUGGAACUCCAUCUCAGCUGUUUUUCAAGCGCGUAAUGGAGAGCGCAUGGACACCGAGCAGCACAAAGGAGAAUUAGGUUAGACCGGGAACUCGAUGGGAUGACACAGUUUGCAGACCGCGGACCUGCAUCUGAAGUCUGAUACGAACCAAGCUUUUGUCCGGUCAACCAUGGAGCAUGAUCUGAGGAUGGGUCUGUCCGUUUGGGCCAUUGCAGCCAUCGUUUGCAACUCUGUGGUCGGCGUCCUCAUGAUCAUCCUUUUCGUCAUUCUGUACAAAGCGUGCAAGGUGCCGUCACAAGAGAAAGCCCCGGUUUUCAUAUCGGAGCCGGUGCAAAAAAUCGAACAGAAGUACUUGUUGACUGCAGCGUGACGAUUAGAAGACGUAAAUAUGGAGAUUCUUUGUUACUAUAGUAUCCCUUUUUGCCUUAUAUGCUUUUCACAACCAACUCCAUUGCUACCAAUCACCGUACUUAGGAAUGAUUCAAGCUAAUGGUCUUUCUGCAGUAAGAGUGGCAAGACCAACAACAGCAACAAGCAGGCCCAAUCCUCUUAUCUGUGCUGUGCGUCUCUGGGACUGUCCAUCUGUCAGUCUGUUUGCUUUGCUCUGCACAGGCAGACCAUGAUCCCCUCUUCCACUCAAUUCCUUUUCAUCCCUCCAUAUGACACAACCGAGAGGAGCUGGUGGAAAAAUGGCAAAAACAUCACGAAAUGGAAUACAAGAGGCGAUGGGGUCAGAUGACAGAGACAGCAAUGCAACAGAGGUGAAAAGAGGGAAAGUGUUGCUCUGUAGCACACAAUUGAGUCUGUGUUUGCCAGCUGCAGCCCUAAUGAUGCCAAAAACAGCGGCACAAACAAACAACAGGUAGCAAACCACAGCCUGGAUGAUUCAGAAAAGACAGAGAUGGUACCGGAGAGAGGUUAUCAGAGUCAAAACGAGGAAGAAAAGGAGUGAAGGUGAAUUCAAGGGUAGAUAUUUGGGGACAAUGUAAAGAACAAGGGAAGAAUUGAUGCUUUGAUGUGUUAUUUGCAGAAAGGAAGCUCCAGGCAACUAUUUGACAGUCACCCCAUUUGACGCACAAGAGUCUGUUUCCACCAAACCCACUCCCACAGGCAUAAAAGCAGCAUCAAAAUAUUACCCAUGUCCUGGUGUUCCUUCUCUAAACACUGAGUAAUAUAGACAGACUUCACCAAUGACACUCUGACUGACCACCCACUGUCACACCACAGUAAUGACUGAAUAUUACAUUUUAUAGUAAUGAAUGAGCUGCAGCCGUAAUGUUAAUAACACAAUCAAAAGACAGACAUUAGAGUGAAAGUAAAAAAAAAAAAAAAGCCAUUAUUUCAUUUUCAGUAACAAUAUAUGCUGCAUAUAACACGUUUUUACCUGAUUGACUUUUACUAAUGAAUGGGUUCCUGGUAAUGAAUUUUUCUAAAGGUAAUGAUUUGUGUGUGUGUGUGUGUGUGUAAACAAAAUUUAAAUGUAAUCUCAGGUUUUGCAUUAAUUUCCUUCUUGUUCUACAGAAAUACAGUUGCAGAAAAAAUUAUUAGACCACCCUUGUUUUCUUCAAUUUCUUGUUCAUUUUAAUGCCUGGUACAACUAAAGGUACAUUUGUAU